GAGCAGAAAGGGCUGUUCUUCAUUUCUCAGCAGACUUUCUGUGAAUUGUUUGGCAACUCAUUUGGAAAAAGGUCCUCAGCAAAAGAUAGGUGCUGAAGAAACUUCCAAAGUUUAAAUCUUUGGAAAGUGCUCUCCAAGGAUAUAAUGCAGUGGGUGCUCCCAGAGCGUGCCAGCUGGACUGAGCCCUGCAGCUCUCUCCACAGUAGUUGGAAGGAAAUCCAGUGCUCUAUAGGUCAGGUUGUUAUUGUGAGCAAAUAUCAAAGGUGCAAUAUCAGCUCAGAUUGAAGACCCAGCUGGCCUAAUGUCUCAUCUGUAGCAGUGACUGGUCCUUAGGAAAGAGUGGAAAGAAACAGAAUUUGAAUGGAUUUGCCUCAUCCUAAUUUCUGGAAGUCAGCACUUUAAGAGCUUGAUAAUGCUUUUUUUUUUAUAAGUCUUUGGAAAAAAAACUGAGUCAGCUUGUGUUAGUCUUGCAUUCUUCAGAGACAUCUGAGUGGUUUUGUGAUGCGUGAGUGUGCUCUAUAGAAGCUGUGUUCACUUUUCCUCAGUAUGUCAUAUAUAUUAAUGUGUAAACUAUUUUUUUUUUAUACAUACUUUUAUUGGAAUUUCCGCUAUUGCUUAUGAUACAGAAGUAAAAUUUUUCUGAACUGUGGAAAUCUUAACCCUUCCUGGUUAGCACCCUAAUAAAAUUCACCAAAAAGCUAAUGGCAGCACUGUGGGAAUGUGAGGUUAAUUUAACCUUUAAGACUGAUUUAAAGAGCAGUCUGUGUUUAAAAAAAAAAACCCAACAAAAAAACC